rnacentral:rRNA from 1 species
UACGGGGGGGACAAGCGUUGUUCGGAUUUACUGGGCGUAAAGGGCGCGUAGGCGGGUCCGCAAGUCGGGUGUGAAACCUGUCGGCUUAACCGACAGCCUGCACUUGAUACUGUGGAUCUUGAGUACGGGAGAGGAAAGUGGAAUUCCAGGUGUAGCGGUGAAAUGCGUAGAUAUCUGGAAGAACACCAGUAGCGAAGGCGGCUUUCUGGACCGAUACUGACGCUCAAGCGCGAAGGCUUGGGGAG